UACGCAGGGUGCUAGCGUUGUUCGGAAUUACUGGGCGUAAAGCGCACGUAGGCGGACUUGUAAGUUGGGGGUGAAAUCCCGGGGCUCAACCCCGGAAUUGCCUUCAAGACUGCAAGUCUGGAGGUCAGGAGAGGCGAGCUGAAUUCCGAGUGUAGAGGUGAAAUUCGUAGAUAUUCGGAGGAACACCAGUGGCGAAGGCGGCUCGCUGGACUGAUACUGACGCUGAGGUGCGAAAGCGUGGGGAGCAAACAGG
rnacentral:rRNA from 1 species